UACGUAGGGGGCAAGCGUUGUCCGGAAUCAUUGGGCGUAAAGCGCGUGUAGGCGGCUUGGUAAGUCCGCUCUGAAAGCCCGGGGCUCAACCCCGGGAGGCGGGUGGAUACUGUCAAGCUCGAGUCCGGAAGAGGCGAGUGGAAUUCCUGGUGUAGCGGUGGAAUGCGUAGAGAUCCGGAAGAACACCGGUGGCGAAGGCGGCCUGCUGGGCAGUGGCUGACGCUGAGGUGCGAAAGCGUGGGGAGCAAACAGG
rnacentral:rRNA from 1 species